rnacentral:rRNA from 1 species
ACGCAGCUUGCUGCGUGUAUGGUUAGUGGCAGACGGGUGAGUAAUGCAUAGGAAUCUACCUAGUAGUAUGGGAUAGCCACUAGAAAUGGUGGGUAAUACUGUAUAAUCCCUGCGGGGGAAAGAUUUAUCGCUAUUAGAUGAGCCUAUGUCAGAUUAGCUAGUUGGUGGGGUAAUGGCCUACCAAGGCGGUGAUCUGUAGCUGGUCUGAGAGGAUGAUCAGCCACACUGGAACUGAGACACGGUCCAGACUCCUACGGGAGGCAGCAGUGGGGAAUAUUGGACAAUGGGCGCAAGCCUGAUCCAGCUAUGCCGCGUGAGUGAGGAAGGCCUUAGGGUUGUAAAACUCUUUCAGUAGGGAAGAUAAUGACGGUACCUACAGAAGAAGUCCCGGCAAACUC